rnacentral:rRNA from 1 species
CCUACGGGUGGCAGCAGUGAGGAAUAUUGGUCAAUGGGCGCGAGCCUGAACCAGCCAAGUAGCGUGAGGGAUGAAUGUUCUAUGGAUCGUAAACCUCUUUUAUAAGGGAAUAAAGUGUGGGACGUGUCCUAUUUUGUAUGUACCUUAUGAAUAAGGAUCGGCUAACUCCGUGCCAGCAGCCGCGGUAAUACGGAGGAUCCGAGCGUUAUCCGGAUUCAUUGGGUUUAAAGGGUGCGCAGGGGGGCUGUUAAGGCGGUGGUGAAAGUCGGGGGCUCAACCGCACCAGAGCAGUCGAUACUGGGGGUCUUGAGUGCGGCGGAGGAAGGCGGAAUGCGUGGUGUAGCGGUGAAAUGCAUAGAUAUCGCGAAGAACCCCGAUUGCGAAGGCAGCGUGCCGUGCUGCCACUGACGCUGAGGCACGAAAGCGCGGGGAUCGAACAGGAUUAGAUACCCGAGUAGUC